CGACGACCCAUAACGUGAGUAGACAGACUGGCGUCUGCAGGUCUACCAUUGCUUCAGUGCUAUUUGUUGCCAGGUCGUGAUGAUGGGCGGUACCUUUUGGCAAAAUGAUGCGCAGACAAGGUCCUCAUUGGAGUGAACACAUCGCGAAAGAGUUGCAUGUCAGUGCCGGUUCGGCUUCAAUGUAACAUCGUCGGAGUGCAUUCUGUGCUUUUUUUUAAUAUAGGCCGUGAAUAAAACCCCAUCAUCACAAGUAAAAGAUGGCGCUUUACGUUGAUACUUUCAAAUUAUCCUAUCGUACUGGAAAAGAAAAGCUGACAGAUGAAGUAAAAUCGUGGGUAAGCCAGUAUGUCGACCACACAGUCUAACCUCGCAGCCUGAAUACAAAUAUUAAAGGGUAAAAAAAUCAUUACGGAAAGACAGCACCGAUCAUUAGUACAUAGACACAUUUAAUCAAGUAUUUCACCUCUAAUCACCAAUUUAUAAUGAAAUUGUAAUCACUUCAAUAUUUGCAUCUAUUUCAACGAACCUUAUGUUACCGAGCACGAUCGGUCAAAUGUGCGAAGGCAGAAUUUGGGAGCUCUGCCUCGAACACUAAAACAAUAUAUUCUAGAAGUUCGUCCUAAAAAAAUUUAAAAAAAAUAUUAAAAAAAAUAAAGAAGGACAGCUGAUUUUCCCAAAUAAAUAUUUUUUAAAUUAACUUAUACUUCUAUAGUAAUAAUGUUGACUUCUGGUCAAUCGAACUCCGGUUGUGCUGGGAGAUAGUGAUGCAUUUGUUCGGUUUUGUUCGUGUUAACUUCAGGUUCGAUAGAUGCGAUUAUUCAAUUUUACUGCCUACUUUUAAAAUUUUUUUUUUGGGUAAAAUCAGCUGUC